UCAGACAGGAUGAGAGGAGGAUAAGGCUAAAGACAGAGGCUCCAGCUACCUUGGUGACAAGGAAUGGAGGAGAAAAGGAACAGGAAAUUUUAAUAAGAUUAGGAGGGCUUGCUUUUCUGCCAAGUGAGCCGCUUUCACAGGAGCGAUAAAUUGGAAAUGUUAUCUGGCUUGAUAUGCCAGUUUUUCUGAGAAAAUCACUCUGCCAGUGGUGACAGAAUGGAAGAGCUGAAAACAUCUUCUUUUUUCAAAGUCAUAUGUCACGAACCAAGGAGACUCCAAAAAAUAAAUUAUGGAAGAUUAUGACCACUGCUGCCAAGGAUACAGUGAAAUAGAUCCAUUAAAGAAUUGAGAUUGCAGGACACACUACCACCCUGAAAACUGGAGAGAGGAAAAAUACAGAGAGGAAGCAGAUCAGCUUACCUGAAGCAGAGGCCGCUGGAAUCUGUGACAGGCUGCAUUUGUAACCAAGCCGUGGUCCUUUUCAUUGCAUCUUGCCAGAAUGAAGAAGAGCUGAUCUCUCCAGUUCCUGUUAUUCCCCUUACAUUGCCCACAUUUAUUGCUCAAUAAACCACAGAAAUCCUUCUGUAA
rnacentral:lncRNA from 1 species